CCACACAGGGGUUGCACCCAGGGCCUUGCUUGGCACUUUCAGAGUUUAUAGCCUCUGGACUAGAAAAGGACUGACCCAUUUCAUUUGAUGAGGUCAGUAGGAAAUUAAAGUAAUUAGUGGGAAAAGGACUGGACUGGGUGUCAGAAGACCUGGGUUGACUUCCAGCUGGGCCAUUGCUUAGCCAUGUGACCUUGAGCAAGGAACUUAAUCCCGGCAGACCCAAGUUUUUUUUUUCAGUUGAGAAAUGAGGUUUUGAUAAAAGUGAUCUGGGGAAUAAACCUGAGCCAAGUGAUCGAUUUUGUGUGUACGUGGGUGGCUGUGCCUCUGCAGCUAUGUGUAUACGUGUAAAGUAUGAAAAGAUCAAUCCAAGGAGAAAUGGAUUUGAGCAACCACAGCACAAACAUUCAGAAGUGGAAGUGAGCAGCCAGGAUGGUGAGAAGAUUGAUUUGGAUGAUUCAGAAACAGACCUCUGCUCCUCGGGAUCUGACAGUUCACAGUGAAUUGGGACAAUAAUACUAUACGAGACACAGCAGAGACCAACGCCCCAGGAGCCCCAGGGAACGGACUACGACCGAGGGAGAACACCCCAGAAUUCAUCUCAGGGAAAAUGUCUUUGAACCUACCUGAACUUGAGCUCUUCCGACACCGGUGGCUGAAAGAAAACACACUUCACGCUCUCCUCCUUGGUCUAAUUUCAGCGAUUAUUCCUUCCCAUCUUGCGCAGCUGCCAUGAGACUGAUUUUAGUUCCUGGGGAUUAAACAGUUUCUGAAGGUUGUUAUCACUCCCCUUCAGUGGAGCAUAUCUUCAAACACCUUCCUGGAUAAUUACCAUGGCCCAGUGAUUGGGCAAUCACCAGAGUGAUUUUAAACACACACACAGAGACACACACAGACACACACACAUUCUUCUCCAGCGUGUUCCUUUGUGUUUGUUUUGGUUUUGCAUUUUCAAAGCCCAGCGGUUCGUGAGAGACAGUAGAAGGACAAAAUAAAAAGACAUAUGGUAGUGCUUAAAUUAUUCCCCAAAAGGGAAAGUGUCCAACAUGAAAUUAUUCAGUCUUUCUACCAUUCUAGGGUGGGGAGGGAGGCAUUUCAACCAAGAAAAUCAUAGAAUAUCCACAAUACCCAGAGGAGGACUGAAUUAUAUUAUCAACUUCCAAAUACAGUCAGCAAUAUUUCACCAGAAAAGCUGCUUUGCAAAAAUUAAACCUCUAAUGUUUACACUGGGAAAUACCUCCAGUCCUUCUCUGCUGUCUUCCCUAGUCCCCCUGUAUACACACACACACACAUACACACACACACACACACACACACACACAAAAUAUCUUUCUCUCCCCAGGAUUGUCUUUGUUUUGUUCACCCCUUUUAUCCUAACAUGUAGGUAUGUGAUUCUGUAGUGAGAUGCCCAAAUGUCUUCCAAAGGAAAGAUUACACAGAGUAGAAUUUUGUCUCUUAUUUUUCAAAAUGUUUUAAGAUCCUAUAAACUCAUCUGAUACAAGCCUAUGGAAAAAGACAGCCAGAAGGAAAUCAAUGAGACAAUUCCGUGAGAUCUUUUUUCAUCCAAAUUGAUAACUAGGGAAGGAGGUGGAGGUUGGGUUUCAGCUUCCUGUUCCUUACUCAGUUUAUGCGGCUUCAAUCCAUUCUACCCAGGCUUAGGCAUGUUACAUAAAGGUUUUAUGAAAUGAGAUAAAUCUUGAGAAAGACUUUUAAAUUUAAAU